rnacentral:rRNA from 1 species
UACGUAGGGGGCAAGCGUUGUCCGGAGUUACUGGGCGUAAAGGGCCCGCAGGCGGUCGUGUAAGUUUGUACUGACAAUCCCGUGCUUAACGCGGGAGGGUGUAUGAAAACUGCACGACUUGAGGAUGAGAGAGGGACAGGGAAUUCCGGGUGUAGUGGUGAAAUGCGUAGAGAUCCGGAGGAACCCCAGAGGCGAAGGCGGCGCCCUGGCUCGC